UGCAGGAAAGUCAGCCGCUCGCAUGGGGCUCUGGCAGCCAGAGCCCUUCCCCCGCAGCUUGCCGGGCUGGACUCCGGAGCAGCUGUAGAGCUUCUCCUCCCCCCUUCCCUCCCUGCAUUCUGAGCCGGCCGGCCUGCCGGGCCAUUUGCAUCGGGCCUCGGCAGCUCCUCCUCCCCUGCAGCCCAGCGCCCCGCUCCGGCAGCACUGUUCAGGGGCAGGGACCGGGUUGUGUGUUGCGCUGGGGAGCGCAGCCAUGUGUCCGGCUCCGCACAGAGCCCAACACCAUGUUCUGAGCAGCAGGUGGAAGAAAAAUCCCAGUGCAAAACAACUGUGUACUCUACAUGAUGGCUGAUGGCUUGGCCAAGGUCAGAGAAGGGGUGGAGCUGUUGGAUCAGCCACUACACGGAUUCACCAGCUGUUUCCUCCUUCACCCUAAGGAGUCGGAGAGCAGCAGUAACAGACACUACUGCAGACUGAAGAGGUUGUUAACAACAUGCAAUGGAUUUGCUGCCAUUCCCCACUGGUAAUAGAAUUCUGGGCAAAGCUGGCUGUGGUGUUGCGAGAUCCAGUAGUGCAUGCUGGGAAUUGUAGUCUUGGAGUUUAAAAAAAUGUAAGAGGAAGCGGGAGAGGGCUUGUGUCAAGACUGGGUCAGGGGCUGCUGCUGCUGCUGCAAGUGUUUCUGCAGUGGUGGGAUUGAUGUUUUAAUAAAAAAAAAAAUCUUGUUGGAUUUUA